rnacentral:rRNA from 1 species
UGGGGGAUAUUGCACAAUGGGCGCAAGCCUGAUGCAGCGACGCCGCGUGGGGGAUGAAGGCCUUCGGGUUGUAAACUUCUUUUGCUCUGAACAAGGCGCACUUUGGGGUGUGUUGAGUGCAGGGGUUGAUUAGCGCCGGCUAACUACGUGCCAGCAGCCGCGGUAAUACGUAGGGCGCGAGCGUUGUCCGGAAUUAUUGGGCGUAAAGGGCUUGUAGGUGGCUGGUUGCGUCUGUCGUGAAAGCUCAUGGCUUAACUGUGGGUUUGCGGUGGGUACGGGCUGGCUUGAGUGCAGUAGGGGAGGCUGGAAUUCCUGGUGUAGCGGUGGAAUGCGCAGCUAUCAGGAGGAAUACCGGUGGCGAAGGCGGGUCUCUGGGCUGUUACUGACACUGAGGAGCGAAAGCAUGGGGAGCGAACAGG